UACGAAGGGGGCUAGCGUUGCUCGGAAUCACUGGGCGUAAAGCGCACGUAGGCGGGUUGUUAAGUCGGGGGUGAAAUCCUGGAGCUCAACUCCAGAACUGCCUUCGAUACUGGCGACCUUGAGUCCGGGAGAGGUGAGUGGAACUCCGAGUGUAGAGGUGAAAUUCGUAGAUAUUCGGAAGGACACCAGUGGCGAAGGCGGCUCACUGGCCCGGUACUGACGCUGAGGUGCGAAAGCGUGGGGAGCAAACAGG
rnacentral:rRNA from 1 species